rnacentral:lncRNA from 1 species
GUGGAUCGAAUGAGAAUGAAAAGUUUGUUGGAGAGAGUGUAGAGGAGGUUAGAGUGAGAUGAUCGGAGUGUGGUGAUGUGAUUGGUUGUUGGAGAUCGGGUAUGGAUCCGGAUCCAUUUGUUGGAGUCCGGGUCGUAGGCGUGGGUGGACGGGUACGGGCACUGGUACUGUUUGUUUCGGUGUAGUUGUUCAUGAAUGUAACUAAACGUCAGAGGGUGGUCACAGAAACAACUGUCUUUGUAGCGAGACUAACUAGUGUUGUUUUUG